CCCCUUGGACAUGCGUUCUCACUAGCGACAUCUUUGACUUGGAUCUGUUGUGACAACAGAUUGGCUGUUUUUCAUCUGCUCUCUGAGGUCCACUUGGGACCCAUGCUCUGCAAUUUCCAGAAACGGCCUCUUCUUGAGACUGUCAGGAGACAACUUGGCAUGAUAGAAGAUGGGCAUUUAAGAACUCAACCUGAAUUCAUACCACUGACUUAAAACUUGCUACCUGGGUGACCUUGGGAAAAUUUCUUGUCAACUCUGGCUAGAACUUGCAUGGCAGGAGACUUGCUCCGCGAGGGCUCUGUCUGCUCUUCUUGCUGCUGGCACAAAGUAUUUGGUGAAGGAAUGAAUGAAUGACCAAGUGAAUGGAGCAGAAGGAAGAGGCAAUGUCCCUUCUCAGUCAGUCUGGGGACAGAAAGUGUGGAAUCGCGGUUGGAAGUGGGAAGCACAGCAAGGAUCCAUGUCUCCAGCUUCGCCCGCCCAGGACAUCCACAUGGCACUGUUUUCUCGGUGGAAAAACCCUGGUAAUGGGAAGGCUCUGGGGAUUUCAGGGAAUGACCAUGUUUUCAGGAGGAAACCGCAGCCUGCAUCAUCUUCGUUUGGCUGGGCCCUCCUCCGCAAAGUCCUCUAAGAUGUCCCACCGUCACUGAGCUCACCGUUGUCCUCCAUCCCAGCAGGAGCAGCCAUCUGCCUCUUCAAGGAGGCUGUGCCCCUGAGGGUCUGGGUCUCACCCAGGCUUGGCCGCCCGCCCUCCACUAUGCCUUCACUACCGCCUCCACUGAAGACGUGGAGCCCAAGCCAGGCACUAUCUCACUCCCUGCUCACAAUAUUCCUGGGUGAAGCACACUAUCACUAGUCCUAUUUUAGAUCUGAGGGGACAGAGGAUCAGAGGGGCCAAGAACUUAGCGCAAAUCCCACAGCUGAUGGGUCUGAUUCCAGAAGCUUUGCCAUUAAAGGUAUUACCCUGUUCCCUGCGUCCCAUGUAGGGGCCAAAAGCUGGAGGUGGAGCCCCCUGGAGGUCUGUCAUAGUCACUACAGAACCUCAGCUUCAUUUAAGUCACGGUUAAGGGGCUGGAGGUGUAGCUCAGUGGUAGAGUGCUUGCCUAGCAUUUGCAUGGCCCUGGGUUCCAUCCCCAGCACUGCAAAAAACAGAACACAACCCAAACAACAACAACAGCAAUAACAUCAUGGAUUAAUAGACAUUUGCUGAGUGCCUACUACAAGAGUUCUUGGAUUGGGUUCAGGGUCAAAGUUUGAUGGAAAGGACAGAGCCGGCAGGACACCCUCGAAGCUGGAGGCUCCCUGCUCCUCCCACCUCCUCCCUGCUGUGCUCCUGUAAUGACAUCACCCUCACAAGCCAGCUAUCUUUCUUUAUUUUUAAAAAGAUGGAUUCUUUUGUGCCUAAACUUGUCUUAAAUUACCCAUUACAUAAAAUUUACCAUCAUAAUAAUUUUCAAGUGUACGGUUCAGUGGCAUUUAGCAUCCACGCUGUUGUGCCACCAUUACCGCCAUGUGUCUCCUGAACUCUCUAUUUUGCAGACCUGAGAAUCUGUCUCCAUUACACAACAGCUCCAUCUCUGCCUCUGCCUACUCCUGGCAACCACCCUUUUGCCUUCUGCCUUUAUGAACUUGAUGACUACCUUUCUUUCUGAGGAGGGAAAUUGAUAGUAUUUGCCAGCACUGUAUCUAGAUGUGCUUGUGUGCUGCCCCACUGGACAGCUUCCAGGGCUUUUCCCUGGUGUAUCCAAGGAAGCUCUCACAUGCCCAGGGUCCUCCUGGUGCCACCCUGCAGUCGGCAUCCCCCACAGCAGGGGACACUGUCACAUACUCCACAGAGGAGCUUCAUCUUCUUGGGGUUGGGCUGUGACCCCACAAAGGGAGACAUCGGGUAUAACUAAUGCCUACCCCCUGGAAACCUCUUAGGAAGGCGCCAUGUUGGAGGGCGCCAUGUUGGAGAGCCCCAUGCCAUCUCCCAGUGAGUCCAACACAAUCAUCCUUUACCCAUUGCUGCACUGGACUAUUGCUUUGAACAGCAGUGGAAGCAGUUGAUUUUUUCCAUUAUAGGGAAAUACUGGUCCUCCAACACCAGACAUGCGCUUGGUACCUUGAGGUGCUCCCACCCUGGGGGGAGCAAAGGAGCCAGACCAACUCUGAGAGUAGCAAAUUGAGGCUCUUGUCUCUGGCUUACUGGGGACACAGAGCCAGCAGGAAGAGCCCCUGCAGGAUUUCUCACUACCGAGUUCUCUCUCAGUGAUGCCAUGCUGCCCUGUAGCUGAGCUUCAAAGCCAGUUGCACUUGGUGGUAGCAGCUGUGCUGAUUUUCCCUGACAGGAAAAUUCCCUCAAAGCUGUGUCAGCAGCGAGCAGGACUGGGGCAGAGAUAGGGCUCCCUGCACCACAUGGACGCCGAGUUGUCACUGCAGAUGUCGAGCUUGGAUACCUGCACUGCGGGCUCCUUGAGGGCAGGGAAGACUUCCCAUUCCUCCUUUGAUAUCCCCUGCUGUGUCCAGCACAGGGCCCGGCACAGGGAAUGUUCAAGUUGGAAAAACUCUUUACUGACUUGGAAAUGUGUUGUUGCUAUGUCAUUAAGCAUGGAAAGGAAGUUGUAAAAUAAUAUAUAGAAGACAAUUUCACUUUAUUUUUGUGCAUAUCUAUUUGUGGAAAAGAAAUUGAACUGUGAUUAUCUUGGGUGGUAAGUUUAUAGUAAAUUUUAAUUUUUUCCACUUGAGUAUCUGUAUUU
rnacentral:lncRNA from 1 species